rnacentral:sRNA from 1 species
UGGACAGUGUGUCCAUUCUACCGGCAUCUCUUGUCACUGUAGUGACUACGUUACUGGACCUAAUUCGUCUCCACUCCCUUUUCGUGCCUGGUUCUACACCAUGUGUUUUCAUAUGGCUGCAGCAAGACAUUGUGAAAGACAAGGAAUUGUAGUUUGUGUGGAGGGAAGGAAAUACUUUGUUCCAACAGAUACUUGUUCAUUUGAAAGGUUCACAGAUGUUAUGUUUCAAUGUCUGCCAAUGUGUAACAAUCAAUUCACACUUAUUCAAUAACAUUUCAUAUGUUUUAAAUAGAAUGCCAUGAUAACUAUGCACAAUAAGGAACUUUGACAAGAGACAUAAAUAUUUCUUAUAAUUAUACUCAUUGUUGCAACUCACAAAUUUCAUACUACGUAAGAUAAAAAAAAAAAACAAAAAAUAAAUCAGACAAACAUUGCAGAUUCAUAAGUGUAGAUAAAUUUUGAUAUUGUUAGCAUGUUAAAAUAAUUUCUUAUAAAACAUUACAUAUCUUAAUACAUAAUGAAGAUAAUAACACACA